CUGAUCUGAAGCACCAUGUUUCUUUCUUUUAACUCUGGCCCAAUAAACAGCUUCUGCUUAGUCUGUUACAUGACAGGUAGCAAUGGUGUUCACAUCUCGAGACUUCACACUUAAAGGGGUGAGGCAAGAAGAAACAGGAAAGUCAACUGUGUGAACAUGAAAAGAAGACAAGAAGGAUAAGAGCAGGGAGAUUUACUGAUCUUCCUGAUUGACGAAUACCUUAUUGAUGAAUCUGAAACAUUCCCUGAAUUUAUCACUGUGAUAUCAGGUGUAUACAUGACUUCCCCCUCAGUAUUGUAGCUGACAGCCGCACAAGCAUUUAUGAAAUCAUCUUCUAACACUCCUUUGAAGAAGGUCAUUAUUAUCAUGUUUACGGAUGGGAGACUGAAGCACAGAGAUUCGGCAACUUCUCCAAACUCACACAGAAAGUCUGUAACAGACCAAUUAAACAUUGGUCAUUUGAGUCCCAGCCCAGUUCCCUAGCAACAAGAACAUCCUUGAUGGGAUUUUAUUAUGUAGGCAGUUUCAGAAAGCAGCUACUUCCUAGCCCGGUCACCUGAGGGACCCCAAGAAGUACCCAAGAUCUUAAGGAUGAGUGUCUACAGCAAUUGAUGCAAUACCUAAAGGCUGCCUCUCU